ensembl:snoRNA
AUCCUUUUGUAGUUUGUAAGCAUGAUGAUUGGGGUUUCAUGCUUAUGUGUGAGACGUGUCUCCCUUAAAUCUUGUUAUGAUGUCAGCACAUUACCCAUCUGAUG